rnacentral:rRNA from 1 species
GAUGAACGCUGGCGGCGUGCCUAAUACAUGCGAGUCGAGCGAACGGACGAGAAGCUUGCUUCUCUGAUGUUAGCGGCGGACGGGUGAGUAACACGUGGAUAACCUACCUAUAAGACUGGGAUAACUUCGGGAAACCGGAGCUAAUACCGGAUAAUAUUUUGAACCGCAUGGUUCAAAAGUGAAAGACGGUCUUGCUGUCACUUAUAGAUGGAUCCGCGCUGCAUUAGCUAGUUGGUAAGGUAACGGCUUACCAAGGCAACGAUGCAUAGCCGACCUGAGAGGGUGAUCGGCCACACUGGAACUGAGACACGGUCCAGACUCCUACGGGAGGCAGCAGUAGGGAAUCUUCCGCAAUGGGCGAAAGCCUGACGGAGCAACGCCGCGUGAGUGAUGAAGGUCUUCGGAUCGUAAAACUCUGUUAUUAGGGAAGAACAUAUGUGUAAGUAACUGUGCACAUCUUGACGGUACCCAAUCAGAAAGCCACGGCUAACUACGUG